rnacentral:rRNA from 1 species
GAUGAACGCUGGCGGCGUGCCUAAUACAUGCAAGUCGAGCGAACGGACGAGAAGCUUGCUUCUCUGAUGUUAGCGGCGGACGGGUGAGUAACACGUGGAUAACCUACCUAUAAGACUGGGAUAACUUCGGGAAACCGGAGCUAAUACCGGAUAAUAUUUUGAACCGCAUGGUUCAAUAGUAAAAGACGGUCUUGCUGUCACUUAUAGCUGGAUCCGCGCUGCGUUAGCUAGUUGGUAAGGUAACGGCUUACCAAGGCAACGAUGCAUAGCCGACCUGAGAGGGUGAUCGGCCACACUGGAACUGAGACACGGUCCAGACUCCUACGGGAGGCAGCAGUAGGGAAUCUUCCGAGAUGGGCGAAAGCCUGACGGAGCAACGCAGCGUGAGUGAUGAAGGUCUGCGGAUCGUAAAACUCUGUUAUUAGGGAAGAACAUAUGUGUAAGUAACUGUGCACAUCUUGACGGUACCUAAUCAGAAAGCCACGGCUAACUACGU